UUACUAAUGCUUGAAAGCAUGUACACAUCAAAUAAAUCUCUGGUAUUUGGGCCAUAGUGUACCAGCAUUAUGCAAAGGGAAGAUUAACCACACUCAGUAUUAAGCUACGAUCCACUUCACUCUUGAUUCCCCACCGUAGUAAAUCAACCAAAACAUCAAAGAACAGAAUUAGUGGAAGGGUUCCUCAAAGAAUGGAUUUAUUUCCAUGUUUAUUUGUAUUAUUGUUUAGAAAAGGGAAAUCAGCAGAGAAAAUCUGCCUGGAGCUCAGGGCAUUAUAAAUUAAUGAAAAGACAUGAAGUGAACUUUUGAGUGUGGAAAACCAGCACCAGAUGCAAAUGCUACAUAUGGUGUGUACGGUGUUGCUGCAACAGCUGAGAGGCAACACGCCUGCUUUGACUGCUGCUGCUCUUAAUAGUCUUUAGCAAGCAUUAUAUGGGCAAAUCUGACACAGAGUGAAUUUGCAACAUUGACUCAAACAACUUUCCUAACAUGAAGCAUCUUUAAUGCAUAUCGUUUUAGCUCUUUCCUGUUUUUACUCUGCUCUCUUUCAGUGAAAAGGUCAAGAAAAGCAGUAGCUCAGUGGCUGAAUUUUUCUGAAGUGCUUUACAGCAGGGAAAGUGGGGAAACCUCUUAAAGUGGUGUCUUAUUCAGUUCAGAAGUGGAGGGAUCCUGACAGUGAGGAACCACCACUGCAGGUUGUUGAUGUGGCCAGGGCAGCAUUUGGAUUUUGCAGGUGGAGUUUGCCGUGGGAUCUGCUGUGUUCAGAGAGGCUCAGCAUCAAACCCCUCUUGUACUGCAACCCACAACUUGCUGUGGGCUUGUGGGAGCCAAAGGUGCCCUGGGGUGAGGCAGCAUCAGCCGAGUUUUUCCACGGGCAAAGGAUGCUAUAGGAUCCUGGAGCACAGGGAAGGAGUUUUAAUGCAAAAUACCAGAAAAAAAAGUCUGCAACAUCUCCUGUGAGAGGGGGGAAAAAAGGAGAUUAACAAUUGCUUCUUGAAACACUCAUGAUUUGAGGCCAUAUGUGUCCUUUGAACUCUGAAGAAGCUGUGCCAAAAGGAAGCCUUCUUCUCCUCCCCUCCUCCCAUCGUGGAGCCGCUCUUAGAUAAUUGCAAUUAGUAGACAAUGCGGAGCGAACGCAAAUGUGAAGUUCGUGGGUGAGUGUCUGCAAAUUUCCCGAGAGCUUCAGAAACGCUUGCGCUUGGUCUCUGCUUUUGCCCUUUAACCCUGCGGCGGUUCCCGGAGUCCGAAGCAGCUCUGGGAGGUGUUUGCAGCCCGCAUUUUCCUCCCGCCGUUCCCGGCCGGGCACAGGCGCUGCCGAGGCCUUGGCAGGGAGCCGCGGCUCCGGCGGGGAUCCUGCGCCGAGGGAGGGGGAGCUGCCUGUCCUUGUCUUACGGCACGGGGGAAUGGGGGCUCCAGGGCCCAGCUGUACUAGGACAAGCCUUUCCUUCGGCCCUGCUGCCGGGAGAGGCGGGCAGGUUGCCUGCAGCAAGCUCUGACAGGAGUGGGAAAAGUAAAACUCACCCUGUUGGGAGGAUUCCUUCUUGUCGCUCAUGGGGUGUGGAGCAGAGGGACGGACGUGCUGCCGGGCCAGCUGCUGGUCAGGGGGCUUAGCAUCAGCUGCUGGCUCGGCCAGAGGGAUCGCUGCCGGGCUGGCAUGUCCUGUUCAAAGGGGACGCUCUCCGUGAAGAAGGGUGACAAAUGCCUUUUGUGUCCCCACCUCCUUUAGCCUCUGAGAAGUGUCUCCCGUGUUAAACCAGGUUUCUGACCUCAUUUCUCAAAGGAGUUUUAAAUGGGGAGAAAUAGGAGUAUUAAUUAGUGCCCCGUUAAGUACUUGUAGUCAAGUAUGAUAAUUUUCUUGAAAAGAUAAUGUAUUAGAUGAAUAAAAAUACUCUCCAUUAAAAAAUGAACA
rnacentral:lncRNA from 1 species